rnacentral:rRNA from 1 species
AGAGUUUGAUCAUGGCUCAGAACGUACGCUGGCGGCACGCCUAACACAUGCAAGUCGAACGAAGUAGCAAUACUUAGUGGCAGACGGGUGAGUAACAUGUAGGUAUCUGCCCUUUGGCCUGGAAUAACACGAGGAAACUUGUGCUAAUACCGGAUAAGUCUUUACGGAGAAAGCUUUAUGCACCAUUGGAUGAGCCUGCACUUGAUUAGUUUGUUGGUGGGGUAAUGGCCUACCAAGACUGUGAUCAAUAGCUGAUUUGAGAGGAUGAUCAGCCACAUUGGGACUGAGACACGGCCCAAACUCCUACGGGAGGCAGCAGUGGGGAAUCUUGCACAAUGGAGGAAACUCUGAUGCAGCGAUGCCGCGUGAGUGAAGAAGGCCUUUGGGUUGUAAAGCUCUUUCGUCGGGGAAGAAAAUGACUGUACCCGAAUAAGAAGGUCCGGCUAACUUCGUGCCAGCAGCCGCGGUAAUACGAAGGGACCUAGCGUAGUUCGGAAUUACUGGGCUUAAAGAGUUCGUAGGUGGUUGAAAAAGUUGGUGGUGAAAUCCCAGAGCUUAACUCUGGAACUGCCAUCAAAACUUUUCAGCUAGAGUAUGAUAGAGGAAAGCAGAAUUUCUAGUGUAGAGGUGAAAUUCGUAGAUAUUAGAAAGAAUACCAAUUGCGAAGGCAGCUUUCUGGAUCAUUACUGACACUGAGGAACGAAAGCAUGGGUAGCGAAGAGGAUUAGAUACCCUCGUAGUCCAUGCCGUAAACGAUGUGUGUUAGACGUUGGAAAUUUAUUUUCAGUGUCGCAGCGAAAGCGAUAAACACACCGCCUGGGGAGUACGACCGCAAGGUUAAAACUCAAAUGAAUUGACGGGGACCCGCACAAGUA